GUCACCUGUUCUGAAAUACCUUUUGUGUAUUGAGUUCUUCAGCAGAACUGCUGUCGUGGCUGUGCCGCCCCCAGGAAUGGCUCCUGCAACCAAAAAAAAUUCUCAAACCUUUAAAUAGACAUACUGGACUAAUUAAUUUCAGAUCAUGUGUAUGAUACAUGGCUGUAUAAUGGGAAAAAAUAUUGUGGAAGGAAGGCAGUGCUGAACCAGCUGCUGCAUCUACAGGCAUAAAACUCGAGAGCUUUCUUACCCCUCAGCCAAAGUCUCCACUGUUCUCAAGCCCUAGCAAAAUAAGAAGAUAAAAGAAUGGUUGUCUGAGGAAGAAAGUCAUCAAACAACAAAAAAAGAGUGCGAUUUGAUCCAUUCAGGAAGGAAGAGCAAAUAUAGACAAACUUUGGCUUUGAAGGUUGUGACUGACACCAACAGAACCAACAUGCACACAAUAAGCAGAUGAGUUGAAAAGCACUAACAGUGUGGAAAUUCCUCAGUAUUGGGCAUAGCAAUUGUUUAGAUGUGCACACUGACUCUGCCACUAUGCAUAUUUGUUUUGCACUGGCUCCUGUUGUGCUGCUUCAUGCAUACAUUGUAUGAGGCCAGAAGGGAACAGAGAAGACAAACUACUCCUGAUGUCUGUUGUCCUUCUCUUAGCAACUUCUUGGAAUUACUGAAAGAUGCAGUGGUUCUUCAUCUUACAUUCCACUCCCCCUCUGCCUUGUGUAUGUUUGUACCGUGCUUUCCUCAGUGACAAAAUGCUGAAUAGCUCCAAACACACAUUUCCUUGUGUGUUUUGACUAUGGAUUUUUGGCUUCCAACAGUACAUGGUAAUUUCAGCCAAGAAGUAAAAGAAUAUCCUUUAGAUGUAAUGUUCCACUAGUAAAGAGUCAAUUCCCUUUAUCCAGCUGCAAAUUGUUUUGGACUGUGAAUUAUGCAGAUUGUGCAAUAAAGGCAUAUAACACUCAUGUCACAUGUCCCUAGAAAAUAGAUCUGUUUUAUAAGGAUAUAACUCAGUUUGAAUAUGGUCCUUGGUAUUCUUCACUAGUCUCUACCAAUUCAUUAGUAUUUAAAUUUAUGUUAAUUUCAUCAAGGUGUGAAAAGAUCUUUUUUUGCAUAUACAUGAACAAACGAUGUUACUAUUCAACCAGUUAUUUUCCCUUUUUUUUUUAACCCAG